rnacentral:rRNA from 1 species
UACAGAGGUCCCAAGCGUUGUUCGGAUUCAUUGGGCGUAAAGGGUGCGUAGGCGGUUUGUUGCGUCGGCUGUGAAAUCCCGAGGCUCAACCUCGGGUCUGCAGUCGAUACGAGCAAACUAGAGUGUUGCAGGGGAGACUGGAAUUCCUGGUGUAGCGGUGAAAUGCGCAGAUAUCAGGAGGAACACCGGUGGCGAAGGCGGGUCUCUGGGCCGAUAUUGACGCUGAGGAGCGAAAGCGUGGGGAGCGAACAGG